CUCCACCAAUAUGUAUGAUACGAAAGCAGAUUGGUUCUACGAGAUAGAAAUCGGACCAAUCAGGUGGAAUACAUUGUUCAUGGUCAAUGAGCUGUAAUAAAGAAUUCGGACUGGACUCGAAAAAUUUCUGCUGCAAUAAUCGCCAAUAAAUUGAAGUGGUUUAUUUAAACUACCUCGGGCACGGAAUAUACUUCUUGAACUACCUGAGAGGGGAAGCGCCGAUACUAGCAAAAGUCCAAUUUUUAGGUGUAACACUAAGCUGAGACUCCUAUUGUGUCUGUGAUGAAAAGGAACUGAAGUGAGAGCU